CAUGCAAUUAUUGGGUUGUAGGUUAGUUGCAUGUUUAGAUUUUAAGAAACUGCCAAACUGUUUCCCAGAGUAGCUAUACCACUUUGCAUUCCUAACAGCAAU
rnacentral:pre_miRNA from 1 species